rnacentral:rRNA from 1 species
GAUGAACGCUGGCGGCGUGCCUAAUACAUGCAAGUCGAACGCAUUGAGAGAAGUGCUUGCACUUUUCAAUUUGAGUGGCGAACGGGUGAGUAACACGUGGGCAACCUACCUGAUAGCGGGGGAUAACGAGUGGAAACAUUCGCUAAUACCGCAUAACAAUAGAGAAGGCAUCUUCUUUAUUUAAAAGGCGCUUUCAAGCGUCAAUAUCAGAUGGGCCCGCGGUGAAUUAGUUAGUUGGUGGGGUGAAGGCCUACCAAGACGAUGAUGCGUAGCCGAGUUGAGAGACUGAUCGGCCACAGUGGGACUGAGACACGGCCCAAGCUCCUACGGGAGGCUGCAGUAGGGAAUAUUCCACAAUGGACGAAAGUCUGAUGGAGCAACGCCGCGUGUGUGAUGAAGGCUUUCGGGUCGUAAAGCACUGUUGUAUGGGAAGAAAUGCUAGGCUAGGAAAUGAGCUUAGUUUGACGGUACCAUACCAGAAAGGGACGGCUAAAUACGUGCCAGCCGCCGCCGUAA